rnacentral:misc_RNA from 1 species
GAAAUGCGAUAAGUAGUGUGAAUUGCAGAAUUCAGUGAAUCAUCGAAUCUUUGAACGCACAUUGCGCCCCUCGGUAUUCCGUGGGGCAUGCCUGUUCGAGCGUCAUCUACACCCUCAAGCUCUGCUUGGUGUUGGGCGUCUGUCCCUCCUCCUUCGCGCGCGGACUCGCCCCAAAUCCAUUGGCGGCGGCCCUUGCCUCCCUCUCGCGCAGCACAUUGCGCUUCUCGAGGCGCGGCGGACCGCGUCCAGCAAGCAACCGUCACACCGUCUUUGACCUCGGAUCAGGUAGGGAUACCCGCUGAACUUAAGC